rnacentral:rRNA from 1 species
UACGUAGGUGACAAGCGUUGUCCGGAUUUACUGGGCGUAAAGAGCGCGCAGGCGGUCGAUCAAGUCGAGUGUGAAAGCCCCCCGGCUCAACCGGGGGAGGGUCGUCGGGGACCGCACCGCUUGAGGGCGGUAGGGGCCGGUGGAAUGCCUGGUGUAGUGGUGAAAUGCGUAGAGAUCAGGCAGAACACCUGGGGCGAAGGCGGCCGGCUGGGCCGACCCUGACGCUGAGGCGCGAAGGCGUGGGGAGCGAACGGG